rnacentral:sRNA from 1 species
AUACAGUGACCUCGGGCGGCGGGUCGCGUCGGCCGGGCAUGGCUGCAUGGAGCCCGGCUGCGGCAGCGCCUCUCCUCCGCGGGAUCCGUGGGUUCUUCCACUGCGGUGACUUUCAGCGUGGACAGUGAUCAUCUGGGGAUGUCAGUUGAUUGUUCCACUAAAGGCCGCUGCCCACAGAUCCGCUAAGAUGAAAGGCUUCUCCCAAGGAUUCUGCAACACUCACCACUCUCACCCCUUAGUAGCUGCCGAUUCUGUCUGCCAUCUGGUUACUCUCUGCCUUUACCUUCAAGAUUCUGCCCCCAGAAGCAGCGCCACCCCACCCUCACUCCCAGCAAUCCUGUCCAGCCUCUCAACAUCGAGUUUCUGUCCCUCCACACAGCAGGCAGACAAUCACACUCUGGACCUGUCUCCUGUCCUGCAUUUCUGUCCCUAAUUGAAUAGUUCUUCCCCUGCUCAUUCAUUCAUCCAGCACCAAGUGCCUCUGAGGGCCUGCCCUGGGGUCAGCUCUGGGAUGCUGCCCGACUCAUUCCUGGCCUGUAAGACCAGUGGUGAGAGAGCCAGUGCACAGCUCAUUUUAAAGGAGGUGCUCUGGGAUUCUGUGACACAGGACCCUGCUUUUUCUGAACUAUCAGGAAGGACUGAGGGGUAGAGGGGUGGGACCUUCAGCACCAGCACCCAUGAACGGCCCUAGUGUCCUCCAACCUGUCAUCCACGUCUAGUCAGGGAUCAGUGCCCGGUGCUUCCGUCAUUGUAAUGCCUCUUACUUGGGCAUCUCUCCUGACUCGCUCCAGAAGGCACUGUUUCCUGCAGGUUACUUUGGUACCAUGAGCCUGGGUUCCAUCACCUGGAGUCCCAUCUCCUGUCCGAUACAGUCCACAAUCUUUAGCCUGGCAUUCAAGGCCUGCCACACUCCAUUCCCAGUCUGCCUUUUCAGCAUGCGCUCAGCCCAGCCAAGUUACUGCCGACCUGCUUUUCUGCUCCUUCACUACUAACUGUUGAGAUGUGUUCCAUCAGAAACACGGGCUCCCCUGGUCGGGCACGGUGGCUCAUGCCUGUAAUCCUAGAAUUUUGGGAGGUUGAGCUUCCACUUCACCAUCGGAUGUUUGCCACCCAGACUGAGGGGGAGCUCAGAGUGACCCAGAUUCUCAAAGAAAAGUUUCCACGAGCUACAGCUAUAAAAGUCACUGACAUUUCAGGCACUAAAAGAAGAAAUCAAAGGGAUGCAUGGAUUGCGGAUAUUUACCUCUGUCCCCAAACGCUGACCACGCCCUGGCUGCAUAGAUGCUGCUGCUGAAGACCUUGGAUGAACUUCACUGACGUCAUUCUUCCCUAAGCAGUCACCAAAAAAUUUAUAUAUUUUGCUCAUAUACAUUUCCAUAUUAUAAUUAUAGAAGAUGUAUAAUCUAUUUAGAUGUUAAUUAAAGGAAACAAACAACUGAA